AGAGAGAGAGGGAGAGAGAGAGUAGAGGUAUAAAAGCUUAUACCUGAUCCUGACUAGAGUUCAGUGCGCACAAAAGAUGAAUGAAGCCAAACAAGGGCGGGCAGGCGCUCCAUCACGUUCUUCCGCUUCUGCUUUUUCAAGGUCCUGCGCGGCGCGCAAAAGAGACGCCAGCUGUUAGGGAGCACCGUGCGCAAUGAAUGCGCAAUUUGGAGCCCAAGCACAUCUGCAGUCUUUUCCACGCGCGUCCGUAUUUGCUUCACGUUGAGCCCCACGUACAAUACCUGAAGGUGACGUUUUGUUCGUUCGGCUCGCGUUACGCAGGUACGGGUCGGCUUCUGGAGACGCAAAGUUUGCUUGACGGUUGCUUAGCCUCACUGAUGUGUGUGUGCCCCCCCCCCCCCACACCCUCCAUUAGAAUAAACACUUUGAAUCCACAAGCUGCCCAACAAGUUGCUACUGUAACCUCGGGGACAAGUUGAUGGUAAUUUUAAUUUUUGCACCAAGUUGAAUGAAACCUGUUUUAUUGAGUGUGUAUGCCACCCAAUUUGUACACAACCCAAUGUAUACUUUUAAAUAAACUAGAACUAUGUUUUAUUUUA